AUUGAACGCUGGCGGCAUGCCUUACACAUGCAAGUCGAACGGCAGCACGGGAGCAAUCCUGGUGGCGAGUGGCGAACGGGUGAGUAAUAUAUCGGAACGUGCCCAGUCGUGGGGGAUAACGUAGCGAAAGCUACGCUAAUACCGCAUACGAUCUACGGAUGAAAGCGGGGGAUCGCAAGACCCCGCGCGAUUGGAGCGGCCGAUAUCAGAUUAGGUAGUUGGUGGGGUAAAGGCUCACCAAGCCGACGAUCUGUAGCUGGUCUGAGAGGACGACCAGCCACACUGGGACUGAGACACGGCCCAGACUCCUACGGGAGGCAGCAGUGGGGAAUUUUGGACAAUGGGCGCAAGCCUGAUCCAGCCAUUCCGCGUGCAGGAUGAAGGCCCUCGGGUUGUAAACUGCUUUUGUACAGAACGAAAAGGUUUCUACUAAUACUAGGAGCUCAUGACGGUACUGUAAGAAUAAGCACCGGCUAACUACGUGCCAGCCGCCGCGGUAA
rnacentral:rRNA from 1 species